AUUAAAUAAAUAAUGUACCAAGAACAGCAUCUAUGCACAGCUCCUGCAGUGACCAGGGAAGUCUCCUUUUAAGGAGAUAACACCUUGCAGCCAAUCAAAGCUCUUAUCGAGUGGCUUAACAAGUAUGAAACAAAACAACAAACGUCUGUUGGCAUUAAGAUAUAAAAAAUAAUCAAAGCAAUAAAUCAGUCAGACAAAGAAAUGUCUUCAUCCAUCAUUUUAUUAAAUGAUUUUCACAAAGCCCCCAGUUUCUGGCUUCACAGCUCUAAUCUGUCCAUUUAAAGUCGGGCUUCUCUCUGACCCUUCAGCAGUUCACUGUCUAUGAUAAAACACAUCCUAUUCUCUUAGUAAGUGGUAAAUGCAGCCUAUCACUUAUGGUCAUAACCAUGAGGGUGAUUGUUCGAUACACAUUAAAAGGACCAAAAGACACAUCAAGACAUUUUUCGAAUACACAUUUGAGCCUUAGGCCUUAGAGCAACCCAGGAUCGGAUUAAAAGACUAAUCUUUUUUUUAUUGAGUCCCAAAGUAAAUUAGAUAUCAGGUCAAUGUCUGUUCAAAGGGACCAAGUCCAAACUUAAUCCAAUGAAUAAAAUAUCAGCAAAACAUAUUAAUCAAGAGCUGCAUUAAUAAAUGUCAAGUUCACUACAGCAAACGCAGCUGAAUGGACACCACAUUUACAAAUUCAAUGCAAAUUACAAAUAACUGUGUUUGCAUAUAUGCAUAUGCAGCUUCAAAGUGUUCAUUCAGUGAGCAAAACUAAGUGCAGACCUAUAAACCAAUUCAGACAACAGGACACAAGUCUACUGUUACUCUGAACACCGUAGAACCACUAGAUAUUUCAUACAAAAGUGUUUUAUAGUGAUAACACUACAUGGUGACAAAGUUGAGAUACAUUUAAAGGAAAAAUAUUCAAUAAUUAGCGGGGACAAAGGCAAAGGCAGCAAACGCAGCCCUAAAUAGAGAACUAGUGUGGUUUGCAGCAACUGAGAACCAGCCAAUGACAUGUGAUGAUUAUUUACGGCCUAACCUCAGCCUCCAACACAACAACUGUGGAAACAUUAAAAAAAAGAAUGCAACAAGCAGCAUCUAUGUACAGCUCCUGCAUUGACCAGUGAAGUCUUCAUGUCAUCUCCUUUUAAGGAGAUAAAACCUUGCAGCCAAUCACAGCUCUGAUCGAAUGGCAGAACUCAACAAGUAUGAAACAAAACAACAAAUGUCUGUUGGCAUUAAGAUAUAAAAAAAUUGUCAAGAAAUAAAUCAGUCAGACAAAGAAAUGUUUUCAUCCAUCAUUUCAUUAAAUUAUAUUCACAAAGCCCAUAGUUGUUGGCUUCA
ensembl:lncRNA